GAUGAACGCUAGCGGCAGGCUUAAUACAUGCAAGUCGAGGGGCAGCAUAAGUAGCAAUACUUGAUGGCGACCGGCAAACGGGUGCGGAACACGUACGCAACCUUCCUUUAAGCGGGGAAUAGCCCGGGGAAACCCGGAUUAAUACCCCAUAAUAUAUUGAGAAAGCAUUUUCUUUUAUUAAAGAUUUAUCACUUAAAGAUGGCGUGCGCCUGAUUAGGUAGUUGGCGGAGUAAUAGCCCACCAAGCCNGCGAUCAGUAACUGGUGUGAGAGCACGACCAGUCACACGGGCACUGAGACACGGGCCCGACUCCUACGGGAGGCAGCAGUAAGGAAUAUUGGUCAAUGGACGACAAGUCUGAACCAGCCAUGCCGCGUGGAGGAUGAA
rnacentral:rRNA from 1 species